rnacentral:lncRNA from 1 species
CAAAGCUCGAGAUGGUCUUAUCCUCUGUAAUGAGGCUGCAAUUCCAAAGGGGGCUCACGCCAAACGCGACAGAAAUCCAGCAGGCUCACCUGCCACGGUCUGCUCUGUCCAUGGCACACACGGCCAGCUCAGAGGAGGUGACACGCAUGGAUCAAAUCAUGGAGACCGGGUUGUCAGGGGCUGGGAGAGGGGCACUAGAGAGCACGUUCUUAACAAGUAAGGGGUAUCCUUCUGGAGUGACAGGAAUGUUCUGGAGCUAGACAGCGGUGAAUGCUCUGCACAUUCUGCCCACUGGAAACAUACACAUGGACACAGACACACAAACCUACACACAGAGGCACGCACAGAGACACACGGACCACCCCCCCCCACAAGAGACACAGACCCCACAAACAGAGACACCACACCUACAAACACACACGCACCCACACAGACAUGCCCCUUCAGAGAGAUACCCACACCCACAGACCCCCCAAAGAUACAUCCCUUCCCACACACAGAAACACAUCCACACACAAACCCCUUCCACAAAGAGAGACACACACCCACACCCACACACACACACACAGACCCCUUCCACAGAGAAAGACACACCCACACACAGACACACACCCACAUACAGACCGCUUCCACAAAGAGACACACACUCAAACACAGACACACACCCACACACAGACCCCUUCCACAAAGAGACACACACCCACACAGACACACACCCACACACACACCCCUUCCACACACAGACACACACCCAAACACAGACACACACCCACACACACACCCCUUCCACACACAGACACACACCCAAACACAGACACACACCCACACACAGACCCCUUCCACAAAGAGACACACAUCCACACACAGACACAUAGACACACACACAGAGACCCGUUCCACAAUGAGACACACACCCACACACAGACACAACCCAUAAACAGACCCCUUCCACAAAGAGACCACACACAGACACACACUCACACACAGACGCCUUUCACAAAGAGCCACACACCCACACACAGACACAUACCCACACACAGACCCCUUCCACACACCUACACACAGAGACACACCCACACACAGACCCCGUCACAAAGAAAGACACACACUGGCACACAUACCCCUUCCACAAAGAGACACACACCCACACACAGACCCCUUCCACAUAGACACCCACCCAAACACAGAGACACACUCACACACAGACCCCUUCCACAGAGACAGACACACACCCACACACAGACACACAUUCACACACAGACCCCUUUCACAAAGAGACAUACACCCACACACAGACACACACUCACACACAGACCCCUUUCACACAGA